GACGAACGCUGGCGGCGUGCCUAACACAUGCAAGUCGAACGGAACGGCCCUGCUUUUGUGCGGUGCUCGAGUGGCGAACGGGUGAGUAACACGUGAGUAACCUGCCCUUGACUUUGAGAUAACUUCAGGAAACUGGGGCUAAUACCGCAUAGGAGCUCCCGCUGCAUGGUGGGGGUUGGAUAGUUUCGCUGGUUGGGGAUGGACUCGCGGCCUAUCAGCUUGUUGGUGGGGUAGUUGCUUACCAAGGUUUUGACCAGUAGCCGGCCUGAGAGGCUGACCGGCCACAUUGGAACUGAGAUACGGCCCAGCCUCGUCCGGGAGGCAGCGGUGGGGAAUAUUGUACUGUGCGCGGAGGCGUGAUACAGUAACGCCGCGUCGGGGAUGACGGCGUGCGGGUUGUAUAGCGAUUUCGCCUGAGACGGAGCGAGAGUGACAGUAAUGGGUGAAGAAGCACCGGCUAACUACGUG
rnacentral:rRNA from 1 species